rnacentral:rRNA from 1 species
ACGCUCGACACCUACGGGAGGCAGCAGUGAGGAAUAUUGGUCAAUGGACGCAAGUCUGAACCAGCCAUGCCGCGUGCAGGAUGACGGCUCUAUGAGUUGUAAACUGCUUUUGUACGAGGGUAAACGCAGAUACGUGUAUCUGUCUGAAAGUAUCGUACGAAUAAGGAUCGGCUAACUCCGUGCCUGCAGCCGCGGUAAUCUGAGCGGGCUGGCAAGGC